AGAAACCGCUGGGCAGUCUCCUGGGUGAGCGCCAGACGCCUGGGGUCCGUUUGCCGCCUGCUGAGACUAGACAAGGACCCCGGGAGGGCGACGUUGGGGGAGAGGGCUACGGAUGGAGGUCCCGCCGCGCUUGGGCCGGGUCCGGAGCCACCAGGACGCACAGCGGGUUUCCCUCAUUCUCAGUCAGGUGGUUGAGUUAUCCAAGCCUUCAUAACCAGAGGGUCUGAGCACUUGUUGGACUGUGCUUACUGCAGCUUCUCAUUUACAAUUACCACUGCACCUGAGAGUACCAAGAGAUUCCUGAGCCAGAGAUUACGAUUUCCAACUUCCAGCUCCUCAAGGUUUCAAUAUCAGGAUGAUGCCAGCCUCAUAAAAUGAGUUAGGGAGGAGUCUGAGAGGAGCUAUUAGAGCUUUACAGGGAUAUGGAUGAAGCUGGAAACCAUCAUUCUCAGCAAACUAUCGCAAGGACGAAAAACCAAACACCACAUGUUCUCACUCAUAGGUGGGAAUUGAACAAUGAGAACACUUGGACACAGGAAGGAGAACAUCACACACCGGGGCCUGUUGUGGGGUGGGGGGAGGGGGGAGGGAUAACAUUAGGAGAGAUACCUAAUGUAAAUGAUGAGCUCAUGGGUGCAGCACACCACCAUGGCUCAUGUAUACAUAUGUAACAAACCUGCACGUUGUGCACAUGUACCCUAGAACUUGAAGUAUAAAAAAAAAAGAGGUGCAAGGGAACUGUUUGCUCUCUUUUUUGCCCUUCUGUCCUUUCUGCCAUGUGAGGACAUAGUGUUCAUCUUGUCUGGAGGAAGCAGGGUUCAAGGCACUAUCUUGAAAGUAGAGACCAGGCCCUUACCAGACACCAAACCUUCUGGCACCUUGAUCUUGGACUUCCAAACAUGCAGAACUGUGAAAAGCAAACUUCUACUAUUUAUAAAUUACCCAGUCUAUGGUCAUUUAUAGCAGUGGGCAUAGACUAAGACAUCCUCUCUUGAUUCUUUACAAUGUAUUCCCCAUAUAAUAACCAGAUCACUCUUAAAAAUAAAAACCAGAUUAUAUCAGUCCCCUGAUUAGAAUCCUUCAAUGAUUUCCCACCUUGCUUGGAAAGCAAUCCAAGGUGAUUACCGUGGUUUACUAGGUUGGAUGAGAUCUGGCUCAGUGAGGUUGCCCUUUGUCUGCUGCUCUAUGCUUAAUGUGCUUCAGCCACACUGGGCUGAUUACUGACUCUUGUCUGCCCAGAGCCUUCAUACUUCACAGCGUGUGCAUUUGCAGUUCCCUCUGCCUAGCAUCUCCUCCCUCUGACCCUCACACAGCUUCUUCCUCAGCAGCCAACUCUCCUAGUACAAAGAAUUUCCAUGGCCAUCCUGAUUAGCGUAGCCCUCUAGCACAGGCCCCUUUCACUAUAAAAUUGGUUUAUUGCCAUAAUGGCACCAUUUUUAGCACUCAGUCCAAACUAUUUUGUUUAACUAUUUGUUUCUGAAUUUAUUGUCUAACUUCUCCAAUGAAAGAUAAACUCCUUGAGAGCAGGCAACUUGUCCUCCUUUCUCACCACUGAGUCCCCAGCAGCUGUGAGAGUACACGGCCAGUAGUACUCAUGCAAUAAUUAUUUGCCGAAUGAAGGAAGGAAUGAAUGAAUGAAGGGUACAAUGCCAAGCACUCUGAAAUGGUUAUAAUAGCUUUUUGGGUCAGAGUUUCCCCUGCUGGAGAGACAGAAAGAAAAGGAGUAGAAAUUGCUAAAAUGUAUGCUAUUGUGAAAGAAAAUGGAAUUUUUGAAACCCCAAAAUCACUAUGCCAAAGGAAAUGUUAAACUGGGGACUGGGUCACACAACGUUGCCCUUAUUUCUUUCCUUCCCCAAAAGAGAGCUGUAAUUUCACAACCCUGUGUCAUAGCCUCAUCCAUAAGCCAGGUUCCUGCAACUAGGGAAGGCCACAUAUCUCUCCAGAUGGCCUUCCUCACAAAUUACUCACAAGGAAAUUCCUUAUGGUCCCUAAAUCUUUCAGGAUACAUAUUCUAUCUAUAAACUAUCCCUAAAACCAAGUUCUGUUGAAUCUCACCCUGAAAUUGCCCAUUACCAGCUUAUCUUCACAGGUACAGGACAAGGAUGAGAAGAGAAAUCAUCCUUCUGCCUACCCUGAGAUGGAUGCAUAAUUGACUUUUUCCUCUACUCCCCUUAUGCAGAUUUACUGAGGCUAAUCAGAGCCUCACAAGAAUGCUUUUGUAUCAUAUGUAGAAAGCUGAAACUGGAUCCCUUCCUUACACCUUAUACAAAAAUUAAUUCAAGAUGGAUUAAAGACUUAAAUAUUAGACCUAAAACCAUAAAAACUCUAGAAGAAAACCUAGGCAAUACCCUUCAGGACAUAAGCAUGGGCAAGGACUUCAUGUCUAAAACACCAAAAGCAAUGGCAACAAAAGCCAAAAUUGACAAAUGGGAUCUAAUUAAACUAAAGAGCUUCUGCACAGCAAAAGAAACUACCAUCAGAGUGAACAGGCAACCUACAGAAUAGGAGAAAAUUUUUGCAAUCUACUCAUCUGACAAAGGGCUAAUAUCCAGAAUCUACAAUGAACUCAAACAAGUUUACAAGAAAAAAACAAACAACCCCAUCAACAAGUGGGCGAAGGAUAUGAACAGACACUUCUCAAAAGAACACAUUUAUGCAGCCAACAGACACAUGAAAAAAUGCUCAUCAUCACUGGCCAUCAGAGAAAUGCAAAUCAAAACCACAAUGAGAUAUCAUCUCAUACCUGUUAGAAUGGCGAUCAUUAAAAAGUCAGGAAACAACGGGUGCUGGAGAGGAUGUGGAAACAUAGGAACACUUUUACACUGUUGGUGGGACUGUAAACUAGUUCAACCAUUGUGGAAGACAGUGUGGCGAUUCCUCAGGGAUCUAGAACAGAAAUACCAUUUGACCCAGCCAUCCCAUUACUGGGUAUAUACCCAAAGGAUUAUAAAUCAUGCUGCUAUAAAGACACAUGCACGUGUAUGUUUAUUACGGCACUAUUCACAAUAGCAAAGACUUGGAACCAAUCCAAAUGUCCAACAAUGAUAGACUGGAUUAAGAAAAUGUGGCACAUAUACACCAUGGAAUACUGUGCAGCCAUAAAAAAUGAUGAGUUCAUGUCCUUUGCAGGGACAUGGGUGAAGCUGGAAACCAUCAUUCUCAGCAAACUAUCCCAAGGACAAAAAACCAAACACCGCAUGUUCUCACUCAUAGAUGGAGAAACAGAGGGAAGAAGAGACUUGGAAUCACUCUGUCCUGGCUGUGGGUCUAUGAAAAAGAAUGUGGCCUACUGCUAAAUACAUUGAUUUUGAAGCUAGAUAGCUCUGGUUUUGGGGAGCAAGUGAUUUGAUCUCUCAGAGACUCAGCUACUUCAUCAGUAAACAGAGAUUACCAUAUCCACCAGUAAUGGCUAUAGGAGCAGUAAUAGGGAUGAUAUAGGUGAAAGCACUGAUCACUGAAUGAUUCCAAAGACAGGUGCAGAGAGGUUCAGGCAUCAGACAGGCUACCUGGAUCCAAAUCCCAGCUCCAUCAUUUACUACUUUCAUGGCCUUUACAAACCACUAAACUUCUCUCUGAGCUUCAAUUUUCCCAUCUGUAACAUGGGAACUAAUAAAAUGAAACCUUCCUAAUAAAGUUGCCAGGAAGAUUCAUUGAGACAUUGAAUGUAAAGUAUUUAACUCAAUAUAGAGCACAGGGGAGCACCAAAUAAAAUUCAGGUGUUACAUUUUUAAGCACGUGUUCACCAAGGCUCCCAAUUCAGGUGGUGAGGAUUCUAUGAUGAUCAAUUCCUCCUAAGGUAUUUGUAAAAUGACCCACCAGAUUACCAACCAUUCCUGUAUUUCCAGAACCCUUUGGAGUCCUUUAUGUAACCUGGGAGAGCUGUUAUUCUUUUUUCUUUUUGGUAGAAGUGAAAUCCUGCAGGAAAACUUGCUCCAUUUUGGUUAUUUCUGUUAUAUCACAAGGUGGGCUGGAUAGCAAGUUUUGGAAGCACUGAACACCCACACGGAGCUGGCUCCUCUCAGGCGGGGAGGCAUCUUCACUAAGGAGAGGUGCAGUCUGUGUCCCCGUCCUUGACUCUGAGAAUCCCUGUGAUCAACAGAAUGCAGAAAAGUGACACUGCAUGGCUUCUGAGGCUAGGUCCAGAAAAGGUGAUGCAGCUUCCCCCUUUGCGCUGAAAUGCAGUGCUUGGACCUCAGAGCUAUUGACUAAGAAGUCCAUGCACCCUGAGCUUCUCAUGCUGGGGAAGCCACGUGUAGGCAUUCAGUUCCCAGCCCAGCUGAGCUCCAUCCUGGCUGCAACAAUUGUUCUCAUGAGGAAGCCAUCUUGGACACUCAGCUCCAUGGAGCCUCCACGAGUCGCCAGCCCCAACUGACAUCUGUCUCACUGCAACCACAGAAGAGCCUCCAACCAAGAACUGCACAGCUGAACCCUUUCUAAAUUCUUGAUCUCCAAAAAGCCAUGCACAAAAUAAAAUGGUUGUUUUGAGCCACUAAACUCUGGAACCUCGAGUAGGGGAGAAGUUCCUUUGGGUAGGUGUCAUUUUCCUAGGCUACCAUUCAUUUUCUCUUAUUUUGGUGAUAGCAGUCUGAUUUAUGUGUGUGGGUGGGUCGGGGGUAACCCUGAUCUUAAGUCAUGUAGUUCAGGUGCCUCCUGGAUGUGCCUGCCUAACCAUCAUAUCCCCACUACGGUACGGUGUUUGUAAAGAGUUGAGCAAAUAAUCCAGGACAGACCACUGAGAUUCUGCCUUGUGACUUUUGUUAAAAUUAGUGAGAAAAAGUCACUCUCGGGGCAGGCUGGAGUAAAGAGGGAUUGCUAAAUAGAUGCUAGGUAGGCCUGAAACUGCUGGGGGCCAAUUUAUUAUGAAGCAGGAAGAACCUAAUAAGGAAUAAAGUUACUCUGGAGGAAAGCCAAGCAAAGGAGGGUGAGAGACAGCUUCCUGAUGAGACUAAGCUUUGGACCCAGUUUUGCCUGGAACUUCGGCAGGCUGUUUUAGUUUCGUAAGUUAAUACGUACUCCUUUUUGAUUAAGCUAUUUCAGAGGUGUCACUUGCAUCUGAAAGAUUCCUAAUACAGACAGGUAAGAUCAGGUCAUGGAGGGCUUUGUGCCCUGUGAUGGUAAAGUUUUACUUUAUUCUGUAAAGAAUGAGAACUAUAUUUUAAUCAGGAGCAGGAUGAUGAGAUGUACACUUUAGCAAGACACCUGAAUGCACUGAGAAGGGAUAUUUUGGUGUUAGGAACAGGGAAAUGGACUAGGAGUAUAUAGUGUUAGUUUAGGACAUUAUGAUGCCAACUAAUAUAGCUGGUGGGAUUGGAUAUGCAAUUUGAGAAAUAUUUAAAUCAUGGAAUCAACACAAUUCAGACAGGUUGGGUGGUGUUGGGAUAAGGAAGAGAGAAGAAGCAAGGAUGACUUUUAGAUGGAUGGCUUAUAUACAAGCUGGACUAUGUAUCACUAAAGAGAAUAUUAGCUCCAGUUUAUGUCUGAUGACUCAGAAGUUAAACAACCUGCCCAAGGUUGUGUACCUAGUAAGAGCAGAACCAAUCAGGUCUUUAGGCUCCAAGACUUUCAUUCUUUGAAUUGUAUCAGGCCACUCACUGUGUUGAGGCCGCCAUGUGCACUGCAUUCCCAAGAAAUCAUAGCACAUGGGGCUGCUUGUUGUUCAGCACAUCAGGAGGAAGGCAAAAUUAUUAAUGCUUUCUUUUGGUCUCCUUGCUGUGUCUGACUUGCUACCAAACAAAACCUCUGCAGCAGGGCAUUUGUACUAUUCAGGUUUUCUUGGCUGACUUAUCAGCAUUUGUGAAAAGUACAGACGAUUUUGUUCCAGCCUUUCUGCAUUCUGACUUCAGAAGCUGAUUACAGAUGCAGAAACAUGAAGGGAGGUGAAAUCUAUUUCCCAAGAUGGACUAUGGAUUGGUUCUAAAGAUCAAAAGGGUGUGGCUUUUCAAUACAAACAACAAAGUCUGGGAGUUUUUGCACAGUGGAAGAGAAAGGCAAGUAGUAAGGGUGGCAAAGUGCUCAUUAGGAAGAAAAGUUAACAGGAAAACUUGGUUUAAAUCAAGGCAAGUAUGAAGAGAAGGUUAUCAACUUUAUGAAAAAGAGGACCAGAGAAGGCGAAGUGGCAAGCUGAGUGGCGAAUGCUGCUUAUCAUAUAUCCAGUUAAAAUUUCUUGGUCUCAUUCUUCACCAUUGUUAAAAUACUUUAACAUAUUUUAUAUACACUUAAAUAUCUGCUCCUUUCUAGUAAUAUAUUUUAUGUCUUUUACCAUCUUUGAGCCACAAUGAUCUCAACUGUGAAAUGGGAGCAGUAACAAAUUGCACCAUAAGAUUGUUGUGUUAAAUAAUGGCAUGAAUGUGCUUAGCCUGUUGCUUGUCACAUGGAAUCUGCACAGUUAAUGCUCAUAGCCUGUAACUCUUCCCAUCCUCUUCAGCAAGCUUUUAUUUAAUGACGCAGUUACGAAUGAGAAACUCCUGCAAGAAUGAUCAGUGUGCAUUGGAUAGAUGUUAAUUAGGUAGGACAGCCAGCAUUAUGUUCAUUUGAAGGGGAAAAAAACUGAGGUUUUCAGAGGUUAAGUAGCUUGCUGCAAAGUGCUUAGCUAUCAACAAAUAGGAGGUGGUUUUCUCCAGAGGGCCCCAGGUGAGAUGCACAGGUGUUACCCAGUGCAGACUUUUGGUCACCUUCACUUAACAUGGUGAUUGUUAUCAGAUGAGAAAGAAGACACCCUGGAAUUGAGAAAGUGCCAUACAAGAUGAGGCCAUUGCAAAGAGGAAAAAAGAGGCCCUGUGUGAGGCUAGGAAGACAGCACAACAAUGAGCCCAUGGCUUGCCAGGAAAGGAUCAGAAAUGGGAGGAGUGUUGUAGGCUAGUGGGACAUUCUCAAGCUUCAGAUCAGGUGAUUCUGUGCCCAAAUUAUCACUCCUCCAUGUAUUAUCUGUGUGACUUUGAACAAGGUUGUGUAACCUUUCUAAGCCUGUUUCUUCUUUUUUUUUGAUUUUUUUUUUUUGAGAUGAAGUCUCACUCUGUUGCCCAGGCUAGAGUGCAAUGGUGCGUAAUCUCGGCUCACUGCAACCUCUGCCUCCCAGGUUCAAGCAAUUCUCCUGCCUCAGCCUCCCUAGUAGCUGGGAUUACAGGCGAGCACCACCAUGCUCGACUAACUUUUGUAUUUUUAGUAGAGAUGGGUUUCACCAUGUUGGCCAGGGUGGUCUGGAACUCCUGACCUUGUGAUCCACCCGCCUCAACCUCCCAAAUUGCUGGGAUGGAUUACAGGCAUGAGUGGCCGUACCCAGCCUUGUUUCUUCAGUUCUAAAAUGGAUAUAAUAAUGUCUUAUUUAAUUAUCACUGUUAGUAUACAUUGACAUGUCUUGUAAAGUACCCAUCCAGUCCAAUUCCUUAGGAAAUGCUUAAUAAGUAAUAAUAAUUAUGAGCCUAAUUAUUGUUUUUAUUUUGGAGCAAGCCUUAGCUGAACAUUUUCCCUGUGGAAAAAGAUUGUUUGAAUGGGCAUUAACCAAUCUGGAGGGAUUUAUAACAUUUCAAAAAGACUGUUAUAAAACUAGGGAUAGUUUGCCAGAACUGAAAAUCAAUGCAUUUAAUGUUCAGCUGUUUUGAAUGAGGAGGUAGUGCAGGUAACAGACUCUUGGCAGCCCAUCCCCAUUCCUGUUUCAGUCCUGAACCCAGGCAUGGGCUUAAUGUGAGAGAUAGAAAUAGGGCAAUCGAUGACUGAGAUUCAGAAAUGGGGCAGAGCCGGAAAUGUCUGUUGUAAAUUAAUUAAUUUUAAAAAGUCAAUUAGUGAAGAUGUGUUUUUACAUUUUGAAGCCACUACUUCCCGACUUGUCUGGAAAGCCUGAGAUUAAGAAUCACACUUUGGAGGUAAGGGAAUACACUAGUCUGUUCUUGCCCUGCUAUAAAGAACUACCUGAGACUGGGUGAUUUAUAAAGAACAGAGGUUUAAUUGGCUCCUGGUUCCACAGGCUCUCUAGGAAGCGUGGUUGAGGAGGCUUCAGGAAACUUGCAAUCAUGCAGGCACACAUUGCAUGGCUAGAACAGGAGGAAGAGAGUGAAGGGGGAGGUGCUAUACACUUUCAAACAACCAGACCUCGUGAGAACUCACUAUUAUGAUAACAGCAAGGGAGGAAUUCACCCCCAAGAUCCAAUCACCUCCCACCAGGCCCCUCUUCCAACUUUGGGGAUUACAAUUUGACAUGAGACUUGAGUAGGGUCACAAAUCCAAACCAUAUCAUGGGACAAGUGAUUGAAGACUCAUCAUUCUGUUCUGAAUGAAUUUUAUGACCAACUUGCUGUGUAGAGGGAGACAUUUGCCAAAUUUCAUUCAUAAUGGGUUCUGCAUACAGAACAGCUCGGAUUCCAGUUAGCCAUUAUUAUUGUAUGAACUUGCAUGAGUCACUUAAAUAAUUUGUGACCCAAUGUACUCAUCUGUAAAAUGGAGAUGCUAAUGGUAACUUGUUUGUAGCCUUUUGUGAUGAUUAAAUAAGAUUACUUUGUAAAGUGC
rnacentral:lncRNA from 1 species